AUUGAACGCUGGCGGCAGGCCUAACACAUGCAAGUCGAGCGGUAGCACAGAGAGCUUGCUCUCGGGUGACGAGCGGCGGACGGGUGAGUAAUGUCUGGGAAACUGCCUGAUGGAGGGGGAUAACAACUGGAAACGGUAGCUAAUACCACAUAACGUCGCAAGACCAAAGAGGGGGACCUUCGGGCCUCUUGCCAUCAGAUGUGCCCAGAUGGGAUUAGCUAGUAGGUGGGGUAACGGCUCACCUAGGCGACGAUCCCUAGCUGGUCUGAGAGGAUGACCAGCCACACUGGAACUGAGACACGGUCCAGACUCCGACGGGAGGCAGCAGUGGGGAAUAUUGCACAAUGGGCGCAAGCCUGAUGCAGCCAUGCCGCGUGUAUGAAGAAGGCCUUCGGGUUGUAAAGUACUUUCAGCGGGGAGGAAGGCGAUAAGGUUAAUAACCUUGUCGAUUGACGUUACCCGCAGAAGAAGCACCGGCUAACUCCGUGCCAGCCGCCGCGGUAA
rnacentral:rRNA from 1 species